rnacentral:rRNA from 1 species
AGAGUUUGAUCCUGGCUCAGGACGAACGCUGGCGGCGCGCCUAACACAUGCAAGUCGAACGAGAGAUGAGGAGCUUGCUCUUCAAAUCGAGUGGCGAACGGGUGAGUAACGCGUGAGGAACCUGCCUCAAAGAGGGGGACAACAGUUGGAAACGACUGCUAAUACCGCAUAAGCCCACGGCUCGGCAUCGAGCAGAGGGAAAAGGAGUGAUCCGCUUUGAGAUGGCCUCGCGUCCGAUUAGCUAGUUGGUGAGGUAACGGCCCACCAAGGCGACGAUCGGUAGCCGGACUGAGAGGUUGAACGGCCACAUUGGGACUGAGACACGGCCCAGACUCCUACGGGAGGCAGCAGUGGGGAAUAUUGCACAAUGGGGGAAACCCUGAUGCAGCGACGCCGCGUGGAGGAAGAAGGUCUUCGGAUUGUAAACUCCUGUUGUUGAGGAAGAUAAUGACGGUACUCAACAAGGAAGUGACGGCUAACUACGUGCCAGCAGCCGCGGUAAAACGUAGGUCACAAGCGUUGUCCGGAAUUACUGGGUGUAAAGGGAGCGCAGGCGGGAGAACAAGUUGGAAGUGAAAUCCAUGGGCUCAACCCAUGAACUGCUUUCAAAACUGUUUUUCUUGAGUAGUGCAGAGGUAGGCGGAAUUCCCGGUGUAGCGGUGGAAUGCGUAGAUAUCGGGAGGAACACCAGUGGCGAAGGCGGCCUACUGGGCACCAACUGACGCUGAGGCUCGAAAGUGUGGGUAGCAAACAGGAUUAGAUACCCUGGUAGUCCACACCGUAAACGAUGAUUACUAGGUGUUGGAGGAUUGACCCCUUCAGUGCCGCAGUUAACACAAUAAGUAAUCCACCUGGGGAGUACGACCGCAAGGUUGAAACUCAAAGGAAUUGACGGGGGCCCGCACAAGCGGUGGAGCAUGUGGUUUAA